GACAUAUUCAAGAAUAUCCAUAAGUAAUAACUAUAAGCUUUGUCAUAGAUAACUGUAUUGGCUGUGUUUAAAUGUACAACUCUGUUUUUCUAUUAUUAUGUGAUAUUUCAUGUUGACUUGUCAAACUGAAAAAUACCCAUAUUGAUUUUGCAGAAAGCUUCACAUGUGAGAUAAAUGCACUCAAAGAUUCCUCACAAGUAGCUCUUUGGAGCUUCGGAUGUGAAAUGGAUCAUUCCUCAAUCUGUAAUAGACCCUUCUGUGAAGCUCUUCAAUCAAACCAGAGAAUUCAAGGAAGACCCUGGCUCCAUCUUGAAAACGGAAGAAAUAAAAACGGCAGACCUAUGAAGGUCAAAGGGGAAGAUAAGAAAAGCUGUAUCGAUUGUUGAGAUCUGGCGACUUGUUUAAAUUUCAUCAGACUCACUUCUAUGAACUCUCAGGUAAGCACUGUAUUGAUUUGUAAUUUUCCUGCGAACUUUAUAAAGCAGAGGAAAAUGGCAGACAUGGUGAAGUGCUUGGUUAGCGUCUAAGCUGCAGUGUUGGUAAUUAGCUCAAGGGUGGGGGGACGAGAGAGUCAGGCUGCUUGCUGGAAGUUUGAGUGCAAAUUUGACAAGGCAAGGAAAAUGGAUUGCGCUCCAGUGAGAACUGGUUUAACACUUGAAUUCAGAAAACUCUAGAGUUCCUCCUUGUUGAGUACUGCAAAUAAAGAGGAGAGUAAGAAAGACGUAAUUCUGAAAGGGGGGUCGGAGAGUAAACUGAAGAUUUCCAUGGAAAUAGCCGUUUUUUUUUUUUUUUUAUGACUUUUUAAAGCCACUUUUAAGCUAUUGCUUUCAGUUUACUUCAAUGCACUCACUGAAGUAAG
rnacentral:lncRNA from 1 species